rnacentral:misc_RNA from 1 species
GAUGAAGAACGUAGCGAAAUGCGAUACUUGGUGUGAAUUGCAGAAUCCCGUGAACCAUCGAGUCUUUGAACGCAAGUUGCGCCCGAAGCCAUUAGGCCGAGGGCACGCCUGCCUGGGCGUCACACGUCGUUGCCCCCCCAUCUACUCCUUCGGGAUUGCGGGGGGCGGAUGAUGACCUCCCGUGCGCCUCGUCGCGCGGUUGGCAUAAAUGCCAAGUCCUCGGCGACGCACGCCACGACAAUCGGUGGUUGCGAAACCUCGGUUGCCCGUCGUGUGCGGUCGUCGCGCAUCGAGGGCUCGAAAAAAUUGCCGGGCUCCGGCUCGGCUUUCAACGCGACCCCAGGUCAGGCGGGGUUACCCGCUGAAUUUAAGCAUAUCAAUAAGCGGAGGA